UCUAAUGUGUUGAUGAAUGGUUGUUUAGGAAAAAAAAAUUGUAUGUGUAGGAAGUAAAUUAUUUUGGACUAUGUAGUUGAUUUUUAAUAUGUGGACAUGAGUUAUGAUUUUUGAAAAAUUUGAAAAAAGUAAGAUAAAUAAACAAUUUAAUUCCAAAAAUAAGGUUCGUGAAAACUUAUAUCCCAAAAUAAGCGUCCGUACAUCCAAGCCUAGCCUCGGGAUAAGUCGCUGUUAGUAACAGCCAAAGAGGGAAAAAAAAAAAUUAAAAGGCCCGAUGCCGCUGUUACUAACAGCGAUUUAAAAAAUAAAAAAAAGAUAUUUUUUUUAAUUUUUAAUAGUAGUGAACGUGGGAGUUGGGGUACAAUUGAGGUACAAUUCUCAUACAACAGCAGCAGUAGAAAGAAGAGAAAAAGUGAAAAGAAAAAGGAAGAAGAAAAACUGGAAAAGAAGAAGAAGAAGAAGAAAUCACAUCACAAUUUGUCACAAUUGUCUUACUCGUCUUACUUCUAAGAAAAAGGGCUCCAAUAAAUUUUCAAAGUCCGAAAUUUGCCAAUCUGUUCGUGCUAUUUCACUCUUAGUGAUUAACCUUGUUCAUCAAGAUGCUGCACACCAGGUGUUCGAUGAAUGUCUUCCCGUUCUUUCUGAUGCAUUAGUCAACUUUAAAUCUCAUGAAAUUGAUGUGAUUUUAGAGGAAGUCGAUUCGUGACCGGGAACUGAAUAGGACGCUUGAGAGUUGGUUAUCUUAAGGUUGAUUGCAGGUGGGGACUGGAGUGAGGUCUCGACUUAGAACCCGUAAUUAUCAAAACUAUGUUUUUACCUUUUUGUAUUGGAUUAUGAGUAGAAAGAAACUCCGAACUUAUGUAACAAGAGAUAGUAUUGUUUUCUUUUCGCUUUCGCUUAUUUCAAUUAGUUUGUCUAGAGGCCUUUGGGCUCUCGAGUUGUACGUAAGAGCUUCCGCUGAUUUAUUUUCUUUUACGCUGGUACUGUCUUCUGCUUUGGUUAUAUUUCUUUAUCAACGGAACGUUGACGAUCCUUGAGAAGACUUU